UGUAUGGUUAAGUGACUAAGCGUACACGGUGGAUGCCUGGGCAGUCAGAGGCGAUGAAGGACGUACUAACUUGCGAUAAGCGCAGAUAAGGCAGUAAGAGCCGUUUGAGUCUGCGAUUUCCGAAUGGGGAAACCCAACUGCAUAAGCAGUUACUGUUAACUGAAUACAUAGGUUAACAGAGCAAACCGGGGGAACUGAAACAUCUAAGUACCCCGAGGAGAAGAAAUCAACCGAGAUUCCGGUAGUAGCGGCGAGCGAACCUGGAUUAGCCCUUAAGCACUCGGUGAAGUAGGUGAACAAGCUGGAAAGCUUGGCGAUACAGGGUGAUAGCCCCGUAACCGACGCUUCAUCGAGCGUGAAAUCGAGUAGGGCGGGACACGUGAUAUCCUGUCUGAAUAUGGGGGGACCAUCCUCCAAGGCUAAAUACUCCUGACUGACCGAUAGUGAACCAGUACCGUGAGGGAAAGGCGAAAAGAACCCCUGUGAGGGGAGUGAAAUAGAACCUGAAACCGUGUACGUACAAGCAGUAGGAGCACCUUCGUGGUGUGACUGCGUACCUUUUGUAUAAUGGGUCAGCGACUUAUAUUCAGUGGCAAGGUUAACCGUAUAGGGGAGCCGUAGCGAAAGCGAGUCUUAACUGGGCGCUCAGUCUCUGGAUAUAGACCCGAAACCGGGUGAUCUAGCCAUGGGCAGGUUGAAGGUUGAGUAACAUCAACUGGAGGACCGAACCGACUAAUGUUGAAAAAUUAGCGGAUGACUUGUGGCUAGGGGUGAAAGGCCAAUCAAACUCGGAGAUAGCUGGUUCUCCCCGAAAGCUAUUUAGGUAGCGCCUCGGACGAAUACUACUGGGGGUAGAGCACUGUUAAGGCUAGGGGGUCAUCCCGACUUACCAACCCUUUGCAAACUCCGAAUACCAGUAAGUACUAUCCGGGAGACACACGGCGGGUGCUAACGUCCGUCGUGGAGAGGGAAACAACCCAGACCGCCAGCUAAGGUCCCAAAGUAUUGCUAAGUGGGAAACGAUGUGGGAAGGCUCAGACAGCUAGGAUGUUGGCUUAGAAGCAGCCAUCAUUUAAAGAAAGCGUAAUAGCUCACUAGUCGAGUCGGCCUGCGCGGAAGAUGUAACGGGGCUAAGCAAUACACCGAAGCUGCGGCAAUGUCUUUUAGACAUUGGGUAGGGGAGCGUUCUGUAAGCCGUUGAAGGUGAAUCGUAAGGUUUGCUGGAGGUAUCAGAAGUGCGAAUGCUGACAUGAGUAACGACAAAGGGGGUGAAAAACCUCCUCGCCGGAAGACCAAGGGUUCCUGUCCAACGUUAAUCGGGGCAGGGUGAGUCGACCCCUAAGGUGAGGCCGAAAGGCGUAAUCGAUGGGAAACGGGUUAAUAUUCCCGUACUUCUGACUAUUGCGAUGGGGGGACGGAGAAGGCUAGGUGGGCCAGGCGACGGUUGUCCUGGUUCAAGUGCGUAGGCUUGAGAGUUAGGUAAAUCCGGCUCUCUCUAAGGCUGAGACACGACGUCGAGCUACUACGGUAGUGAAGUCAUUGAUGCCAUGCUUCCAGGAAAAGCCUCUAAGCUUCAGAUAGUCAGGAAUCGUACCCCAAACCGACACAGGUGGUCGGGUAGAGAAUACCAAGGCGCUUGA
rnacentral:rRNA from 1 species